UACGUAGGGUGCAAGCGUUAAUCGGAAUUACUGGGCGUAAAGGGCGUGUAGGUGGUUGUGUAAGUCUGGCGUGAAAUUUUUCGGCUUAACCGGGAAAGGUCGUCGGAUACUGCAGAACUAGAGGACGGUAGAGGCGUGUGGAAUUCCGGGUGUAGUGGUGAAAUGCGUAGAGAUCCGGAGGAACACCAGUGGCGAAGGCGACACGCUGGGCCGUACCUGACACUGAUGCGCGACAGCAUGGGGAGCAAACAGG
rnacentral:rRNA from 1 species